CAGCUCUCCAAAAACUGACAUGUGAACCAGAAAAGGGAGGCACACAUCUUCAGGGGAAAAGAAGUCAUGCUUUGACGGCUUGAAAUAGAUCUCUAAAACUAAACCCAAUUAAUUUAACAAGUCCUCACAUUGGAAAUCACCCUGAAAAUGUUCUUUGACGAUCAUGCCAUUUAGAAAUCAUCAACCAAAGGGCACUUAGAGAACAGCUCCUAAAGCGGAAACUCUUGGGUAAUUCUAACAACCAAGGGACAACGUAAAGAAGGUCAAAGUCUAUGAAAGCACAGCAUGCAAAAUUUGUGGAAUGGAGCCACAAAUCUUAGCUUCAACCGAAAAAAACCAACAAACAAAAAGACAAAGGAAGCACAGGCUGAGGACAAUAGCAAAGCCCACAAGAUAGCAAAGAGCUUGAAGACAGCUGAAAUGAGCCAGUGAGUCCAGAAGCUGGUUCCUGGAAAGACGAAUCAGUCUGUGAGUUCAUCAAGCCAGACCCUGGGGCCAAUUGAGAGUCUCCUUGAAAUGAUCCUGGUUCUGAGCUCUGCCCUCAAAUGGCCAAAGAAUACAUGGGGAUUGGUUAAAGACAGAUCGCACUAGAUUACCUCACCUGUAUGCAGUGGAGCCUAACAAAAAGUGCAGUGUUCAAGACAGGGAAAAUGACAGGGACUAGACUGACCUAGACUGACCUAGAAAUAGAUAUGAAACAUUGGAUACCAUCAAAGUGGGAAAAUCAAGGAACAGAUUGCCUUCUUCAGGGAGAACAGGACUAAUGAUGCCUUCAUUCCAACCCAAUCAAGCUGUUUCAAGUUGCUUUCACCAGAACUGUGAGACAAGCAAGGCAACUCUUUCUGAAGCCUGGGGAAACGUCUGCUCUUCUGAUGCAGUACUGCGAAAGAACAGAGCAAAGGAAGGCAGGGGUAUCGCUUCAGCCAUGAUCCAGGAGCACACUUACAGGAAUACAGGCACCAAUAAGCAACUGCAGUGAAGCAUGCAUCCAGGUGAGGUCCUAAUGGGAUACCGACCGAGGAUGCUACUCCUGUGGAUCUCGAGCUGAGGGGCCUUGUGAAGUACAACCAGAGAGUGGGGAAACAGGUGGCAUAUGAAUUUCUGCAUCCAAAAUGCAAACUGAAUUUAAAAU